AUGAGGAAAAUCAAUGUCGGCAAAUACUUGAUAUCGGCAUUGGUGGAGCGUUGGUGGCCCGAGACAAAUAGUUUUCACCUACCUGUAGGAGAAAUGACUAUUACGUUGCAAGAUGUCAGUUGUUGGUGGGGGUUGCCUAUCCAGGGUAAACCACUUGUUGGCAAAGCUGAUGCACAAUGGUCAGAAUUAGUUGAGAGGUUGUUUGGGAUUCCUGUGGAUGAACAACACAUGAAACAAAAAAAGGCGAAAAGGCGUUGA
rnacentral:rRNA from 1 species